ACCUCUGCAAUAGGCGAAAGCCUGACAGGGUUAUUCUGAGUGACUUUCGCUAAGAAAGUCUUUUGACACCUCUAAAAAUGGUGUAGAAUAAGGGGUGGGCAAGUCUGGUGUCAGCCGCCGCGGUAAUACCAGCACCCCGAGUGGUCGGGACGAUUAUUGGGCCUAAAGCAUCCGUAGCCGGUUUUACAAGUCCUCCGUUAAAUCCAACUGCUUAACAGAUGGGCCGCGGAGGAUACUAUAAGACUAGGAGGCAGGAGAGGCAAGCGGUACUCAGUGGGUAGGGAUAAAAUCCGUUGAUCCAUUGAAGACCACCAGUGGCGAAGGCGGCUUGCCAGAAUGCGCUCGACGGUGAGGGAUGAAAGCUGGGGGAGCAAACCGGAUUAGAUACCCGGGUAGUCCCAGCUGUAAACGAUGCAGACUCGGUGAUGGACUAGCUUCAUGCUAGUCCAGUGCCGCAGGGAAGCCGUUAAGUCUGCCGCCUGGGUAGUACGGUCGCAAGACUGAAACUUAA
rnacentral:rRNA from 1 species